GUUUAGGCCACACUAGUCGCACACCAAAUGUGAAUUUAGUUCGUGUAGCGCAUAGUGAACAUCGUCUACGGAGACAUUCAACAAAAGUUUUUGAUACAGCCUCGGUUACAUCUUGAAGAGAAAUAGUUUCGGCAUUUCGUGAUUCUGCGAUUUCCAUAGCACGACGACAUAUGUCUAGAGCUCGUCUAGCAUCUCCGGAUACAGCAGAAACUUUUCUGAAAUAAAACCCUUGUUUAUGUAAAAAUGUUAUAAACCAUAAUGAACUGCGUUUAAUAAAAAGCUAAAGUAUAAUUGUUA